UACGGAGGGUGCGAGCGUUGUCCGGAAUCACUGGGCGUAAAGGGCGCGUAGGUGGCGCGACAAGUCAACGGUGAAAGCUCGGCGCUCAACGCCGAGUCGGCCGUCGAUACUGUUGGGCUGGAGCACUGUAGAGGCUCAUGGAAUUCCGGGUGUAGCGGUGGAAUGCGUAGAGAUCCGGAAGAACACCGGUGGCGAAGGCGGUGAGCUGGGCAGUUGCUGACACUGAUGCGCGACAGCGUGGGGAGCAACAGG
rnacentral:rRNA from 1 species